UACGGGGGGGGUAAGCGUUGUUCGGAAUUACUGGACGUAAAGGGCUCGUAGGCGGCCAACUAAGUCAGACGUGAAAUCCCUCAGCUUAACUGGGGAACUGCGUCUGAUACUGGAUGGCUUGGAUUUGGGAGAGGGAUGCGGAAUUCCAGGUGUAGCGGUGAAAUGCGUAGAUAUCUGGAGGAACACCGGUGGCGAAGGCGGCAUCCUGGACCAACAUUGACGCUGAGGAGCGAAAGCCAGGGGAGCAAACGGG
rnacentral:rRNA from 1 species